UACGUAGGGGGCGAGCGUUAUCCGGAUUCAUUGGGCGUAAAGCGCGCGUAGGCGGCCGUCUAAGCGGAACCUCUAACCCCGGGGCUCAACCUCGGGCCGGGUUCCGGACUGGGCGGCUCGAGUGCGGUAGAGGAGAGCGGAAUUCCCGGUGUAGCGGUGGAAUGCGCAGAUAUCGGGAAGAACACCGAUGGCGAAGGCAGCUCUCUGGGCCGUCACUGACGCUGAGGCGCGAAAGCUGGGGGAGCGAACAGG
rnacentral:rRNA from 1 species